AGCAAAGGGGGCUUGCUCCCGAUGGCGGUGGGUCAGUCAACUUAUGGGUAGCUGACACACUGCCAUCGGGAGCAAGCCCCCUCCCAC
rnacentral:misc_RNA from 1 species